rnacentral:lncRNA from 1 species
UCUGUGGAAGGCAAGCAUACGGAACUCCGUCUGGUAUUUCUUCCUGGAAAGAAACCUACUCUCAGAAAACCCAUUGAAGUCCCUGUUUUACAACUAACAUAAUGGGCGUGUGGAAAUGCCUCUCCAUCCACCAGGGGGCAGAAACGAACCCUUUGAUUGGCCAGAGAUCUUUGGACUUCAACUUUGAUUUGGAAUAGUUGUAAUUUGCAUAGCCUUUUCACUCUCAGACAUCACUCUUUCUGUCACUAGGAACAUAACCAUAUAGACUUUUCAAAGAAACCUCUUAAUUCUGUGUGAAACUCUAAACUUCACUCUACCAAUAAACUUCCCCACAUUCACACUAGAGAGAUGUGAUGGGAAUGCUGGGUCUUACAUAUGGUGGUCUUCAUAUUUUCGUGGAUUUGUCUUUUGAGGCAUGGAGUGCCUGACCUUUGCGUAUGCAAGAUUCGCUAGCAUGUAAACUCUGUCACUGUCUCCCAAGAACACAGAAACA